rnacentral:lncRNA from 1 species
AUGAAUUAUGUAUGCACUUUUAUUAUAUCAUCUGUUAUAUUUUCAGGUAAUUUGAAAGAAAAUGCAAAAACAGAAGUAAAAAGAAACACUAAAGAAGCAAGGAAAACCCCAAAACAUGAUAUUCGUUUGAGAAUUCAGAUAGUUCCAUCCCAAACUAUCCAAAGUGGUCCUAAAUACCAGCAUAAGGGAGAAAUAAGUGGCCCUGAGACCUAUGAAAAGAGACAAAAACAGAAAACUGGAGUGAAAAUUGAAAAGCUUCCUGAGAAAACUCAGAGUAAAGAGGAGAGAAGAGAAAUAGAAGACAAAAGAAAAGAUACCGAGGACAUGGGUAAAGGAAAGGAAAUAGAUAAGGGCCAAUCAAAGAAAGGAAGUGACGUAAAAGAUAAAGGUGAAGAAGAAGAAAGGGUGAACAUGAAAAAGAAGGGAGAUGAGGACAUGGAGGACAAAGACACAAAAGCAGAUAAAGACAAGAAGGAAGGCAAAGGCUUAAAGAAGAAUAAAUACAAGGAGGAGGAAAUGAACAAAAAGAAGGAUAAGGUCAAGAAAGGACAUGAGGAUAAGAUAAAAGGCAUGGACACAAAGGGAGAUAAGGACAGGACAGAGGACAUGGACAAGAAGGGAGAUAAAUAUAUAAAGGAGGAUGAAAACAAGGACAUAAAGGGAUAUGAGGACAGGACAGAGGACAUGGACAAGAAGGGAGAUGAGUAUAUAAAAGAGGAGGAGGACAAGGACUAUAAGGGAGAUGCGGACAGGACAGAGGACAUGGACAAGGAGGGAGAUGAGUAUAUAAAGGAGGAGGAGGACAAGGACUAUAAGGGAGAUGAGGACAGGACAGAGGACAUGGACAAGGAAGGAGAUGAGUAUAUAAAGGAGGAGGAGGACAAGAACUAUACGGGAUAUGAGGACAGAACAGAAGACAUAGACACAAAGGGAGAUGAGUAUAUAAAGAAGGAGGAGGACAAGGACUAUAAGGGAUAUGAGGAUGGGACAGAGGACAUGGACAAGAAGGGACAUGAGUAUAUAAAGGAGGAGGAGGAGGAGGACAGGACAGAGGACAUGGACAAGAAUGGAGAGGACUAUAUAAAGAAGGAUGAGGACAAGGACUAUAAGGGAGAGGAGAAUGGGACAAAGGACAUGGGCAAGAAUGAAGGUGAAGGCAAGAGAACAAAAACUUGA